GUGCUCGCUUCAGCAGCACAUACACUAAAAUUGGAAUGAUACAGAGAAGAUUAGCAUGGCCCCUGCACAAGGAUGACAGGCAAAUUUGUGAAGUGUUCCAUAUUUUU
rnacentral:snRNA from 1 species